rnacentral:rRNA from 1 species
UGAGUAACCUGCCCUUAACUCUGGGAUAAGCCUGGGAAACUGGGUCUAAUACCGGAUAUGACUCCUCAUCGCAUGGUGGGGGGUGGAAAGCUUUAUUGUGGUUUUGGAUGGACUCGCGGCCUAUCAGUUUGUUGGUGAGGUAAUGGCCCACCAAGGCGACGACGGGUAGCCGGCCUGAGAGGGUGACCGGCCACACUGGGACUGAGACACGGCCCAGACUCCUACGGGAGCAG